rnacentral:rRNA from 1 species
AUUGAACGCUGGCGGCAGGCCUAACACAUGCAAGUCGAACGAGUGGCGGACGGGUGAGUAAUGCUUGGGAAUCUAGCUUCUGGAGGGGGAUAACUACGGGAAACUGUCGCUAAUACCGCGUACCAUAGGAUGAGCCCAAGUGGGAUUAGGUAGUAGGUGGGGUAAUGGCUCACCUAGGCGACGAUCCCUAGCUGGUCUGAGGAUGACCAGCCAAACUGGAACGGGGAAACGGUCCAGACGCCUACGGGAGGCAGCAUGGGGGAAUAUUGCACAAGGAGCGCAAGCCGAAUGCAGCCAUGCCGGGUGUGGGAAGAAGGCCUUGGGGUUGUAAAGCACUUUCAGCGAGGAGGCGUUACUCGCAGAAGAAGCACCGGCUAACUCCGUGCCAGCAGCCGCGGUAAUAC